GGUCUGCGGGAGGAAGACGUUCCCCGUCCGCGCCCCGGCCGGUGAAAAGGGGCUGUGCCCGCUCUUCGCGGCUCCGCGCCUUCCUUUCCCGCCGCCCCGCACGGUGUAUGCCCACCUUCUCAGUGGCCGAGAGAAAUGUUUCCGCCCCUUUGUCCUCAACUGCACGGAAUUAUCCACUUAUCCCUGUCUUCAAAGACCUUAACUAACAGACUAUACACGGAUGAUGCGCAGGAAUAAAAUUAUUUGGAGCGUAUUGUCAGCUAUGGAUAGGCACUUGCCAUCUACCUCGAUAAGGACUAAAUCAGGUGCUGAACAGCUGCUGCAGCCGCUGACCUGCAACACCCCCUGAAAGCAGUUCAGGGUGGAUAGCAGAAAUGAGGCGCUCUGUGCUCCGGGGAAGCUGGCAGGACAGCUCUUCAGAGAGUUAGAUACUUGCAGG